UUGAUUUGAUGUGUUUAACAUUUCAUUAAUACAAAUUUCUUUCUUUUCAGACCACAAAUUACAAGCAGAGCUUCAUCAACGAUCAUUGCAAGGAGAGCUACUGCAAUCCCUGCGGUUUUUCCUCUAGCUCUAGUUCUGGGCGUGACAAAGGAUGGUCUUCCAAAUCAGCCGGAAUCCCCAAACAUCUAUUGUACAAUGAGCGUCUGAUAGCCCACUUGCGUACAUAAAUAGAAAAUACAAAACGUGGCGAAGGACUUGUAUUUGAAGAUGAUGAGUACACAACAUUGGAGACUGAGAACAUGAAGCUAAAGCAUAGAUUAGCAAUUCUGAAUAAUACUAUGUUCGGACCGACAUCGAAAACAUGUUUUCGUUGCUAUAACUGGUUUUGGCGAAAUUAAAAUAUUAACAAAAG